AAUCGGUCUUGGGUAGGCCUAACUGAUGAGGCUUUCUCAGGCUUUUUCAGGCCUUUUACCGCACAAAAAUGGCCUCAACAAGGCCUGAACAAAGCCUAAACCGGUC
rnacentral:hammerhead_ribozyme from 13 species